CGUAGGUAACCUGCCCGGAGCGGGGGAUAACAUUUGGAAACAGAUGCUAAUACCGCAUAACAAUAAAAGCCGCAUGGCUUUUAUUUGAAAGAUGGCUUUGGCUAUCACUAUGGGAUGGACCUGCGGUGCAUUAGCUAGUUGGUAAGGUAACGGCUUACCAAGGCGAUGAUGCAUAGCCGAGUUGAGAGACUGAUCGGCCACAAUGGAACUGAGACACGGUCCAUACUCCUACGGGAGGCAGCAG
rnacentral:rRNA from 1 species